GGCCUGGUGGUCUAGUAGUAUGAUUCCUUCUUAGGGCCUCUGUGCAUUUGGAGGAGGUCCCGGGUUCAAUUCCCGACUAGGCCC
rnacentral:tRNA from 1 species